rnacentral:rRNA from 1 species
CGGUGAAUACGUUCCCGGGUCUUGUACACACCGCCCGUCACACCAUGGAAGUUGGUUCUACCUUAAGCCGCCGCUCAAACGGCGACCACGGUAGGGUCAAUGACUGGGGUG